rnacentral:rRNA from 1 species
UGCCAGCAGCCGCGGUAAUACGGAGGGUGCAAGCGUUGUUCGGAAUUAUUGGGCGUAAAGCGCGUGUAGGCGGUUCGUUAAGUCUGAUGUGAAAGCCCGGGGCUCAACCCCGGAAGUGCAUUGGAAACUGGCGAACUUGAGUAUGGGAGAAGAAAGUGGAAUUCCGAGUGUAGGAGUGAAAUCCGUAGAUAUUCGGAGGAACACCAGUGGCGAAGGCGGCUUUCUGGACCAAUACUGACGCUGAGAUGCGAAAGCGUGGGGAGCGAAGAGGAUUCGAUA